UGAAGCUGGAAUUGCUAGUAUGGCAGGUCAGCAUACUGCCGUGAAUACGUUCCCGGGCCUUGUACACACCGCCCGUCACACCAUGAGAGUUGGAAAUACCCGAAGCCUGUGAGCUAACUUAAAGAGGCAGCAGUCGAAGGUAGAGCCAAUGAUUGGGGUGAAGUCGUAACAAGGUAUC
rnacentral:rRNA from 1 species